rnacentral:rRNA from 1 species
CCUACGGGAGGCUGCAGUGGGGAAUAUUGGACAAUGGGGGCAACCCUGAUCCAGCCAUGCCGCGUGUGUGAAGAAGGCCCUCGGGUUGUAAAGCACUUUCAGUGAGGAAGAACGCCUGGUGGUUAAUACCCAUCAGGAAAGACAUCACUCACAGAAGAAGCACCGGCUAACUCCGUGCCAGCAGCCGCGGUAAUACGGAGGGUGCGAGCGUUAAUCGGAAUUACUGGGCGUAAAGCGCGCGUAGGUGGCUUGAUAAGCCGGUUGUGAAGCCCCGGGCUCAACCUGGGAACGGCAUCCGGAACUGUCAAGCUAGAGUGCAGGAGAGGAAGGUAGAAUUCCCGGUGUAGCGGUGAAAUGCGUAGAGAUCGGGAGGAAUACCAGUGGCGAAGGCGGCCUUCUGGACUGACACUGACACUGAGGUGCGAAAGCGUGGGUAGCAAACAGGAUUAGAUACCCGAGUAGUC